GACGAACGCUGGCGGCGUGCUUAACACAUGCAAGUCGAACGGAAAGGCCCUGCUUUUGUGGGGUGCUCGAGUGGCGAACGGGUGAGUAACACGUGAGUAACCUGCCCUUGACUUUGGGAUAACUUCAGGAAACUGGGGCUACUACCGGAUAGGAGCUCCUGCUGCAUGGUGGGGGUUGGAAAGUUUCGGCGGUGGGGGAUGGACUCGCGGCUUAUCAGCUUGUUGGUGGGGUAGUGGCUUACCAAGGCUUUGACGGGUAGCCGGCCUGAGAGGGUGACCGGCCACAUUGGGACUGAGAUACGGCCCAGACUCCUACGGGAGGCAGCAGUGGGGAAGAUUGCACAAUGGGCGGAGGCCUGAUGCAGCAACGCCGCGUGCGGGAUGACGGCCUUCGGGUUGUAAACCGCUUUCGCCUGUGACGAAGCGUGAGUGACGGUAAUGGGUAAAGAAGCACCGGCUAACUACGUG
rnacentral:rRNA from 1 species